UGGGGAAUAUUGGACAAUGGGCGCAAGCCUGAUCCAGCAAUGCCGCGUGAGUGAUGAAGGCCUUAGGGUUGUAAAGCUCUUUCGCACGCGACGAUGAUGACGGUAGCGUGAGAAGAAGCCCCGGCUAACUUCGUGCCAGCAGCCGCGGUAAUACGAAGGGGGCUAGCGUUGUUCGGAAUUACUGGGCGUAAAGGGCGCGUAGGCGGCCUGUUUAGUCAGAAGUGAAAGCCCCGGGCUCAACCUGGGAAUAGCUUUUGAUACUGGCAGGCUUGAGUUCCGGAGAGGAUGGUGGAAUUCCCAGUGUAGAGGUGAAAUUCGUAGAUAUUGGGAAGAACACCGGUGGCGAAGGCGGCCAUCUGGACGGACACUGACGCUGAGGCGCGAAAGCGUGGGGAGCAAACAGAUUAGAUACCCUGGUAGUCCACGCCGUAAACGAUGAAUGCUAGACGUCGGGGUUGCAUGCACUUCGGUGUCGCCGCUAACGCAUUAAGCAUUCCGCCUGGGGAGUACGGCCGCAAGGUUAAAACUCAAAGGAAUUGACGGGGUCAUAGCUGUUUCCU
rnacentral:rRNA from 1 species